rnacentral:rRNA from 1 species
UACGUAGGGGGCGAGCGUUGUCCGGAUUUAUUGGGCGUAAAGAGCGUGUAGGCGGCCAGGUAGGUCUGCUGUGAAAACUCGAGGCUCAACCUCGAGACGUCGGCGGAAACCAUCUGGCUAGAGUCCGGAAGAGGAGAGUGGAAUUCCUGGUGUAGCGGUGAAAUGCGCAGAUAUCAGGAAGAACACCCGUGGCGAAAGCGGCUCUCUGGGACGGUACUGACGCUGAGGCGCGACAGCGUGGGAGCAACAGGAUUAGAAACCCCUG